GCACAGCUAGUAUGAAGAUUAAGAUGGACAAAGACAGAAAGUAUGUAGUCUUCUGGGAUCACUACUUUAUCUCAAAGAAACAGAAAGCUUUCUAAGGAUUAAGAAGCCUUAAUGUCUGUGAGAGUCUCAACUGACAUGAAAUUGCAGAUAGCUGCAAAGGGCUUGGCAGGAGCAGAGGAAAAGUGUGGGGAGAAAGGAGCAGCAGAAAUGAACUGUUAGGAAGCGACCACAAACCCUAUUCCCUAUCUAUCUUAUGCCGCUCAUGGCCAGGGAGAAGGAAGAGAAGGUGAGAAUGAAGGGAUGAGGCUGAUCUUUGUAAGGUGAGAAGGAGAAAGAUGCUAAAGUUUUUGUCAUUUCUAACUCUAUUUUUAAUUGAUAAUAAAUUAAAAUAUUUUUUCUCA
rnacentral:lncRNA from 1 species